CGACAUCUUAGAAACAGACGUCAUUGAGUGCUUUCAAAAUGGCCUCUACGAUCGUCGAACAUACCAAGACUUUGGUAGACAUCGUCCAGUCACCAUCAAAGAUCUCAACGUCAUGGUACAACAAUGGGCAGACGAAGAAGAUAAAGAGCAUGAGCGAUUCGGCUCCCAUCGCAACCGCAAUUGCGACAACAAUAACAACAGUCAUGAACAAGAUAGAAACCAAAAUACUAAUACUCGAAACAACUACUCAGGUAAUCCGAACCGCAAGCGCAAACCCGAUAACAGAGUUGCUACUAUGACCAACUCAAGAAAGAAAGGAUCCUGCAAACGUGACGAAGGGCCCACCUUCACCGAGUUACUCAAGAAAUAAUGCCCAUGGCAUCCAAACAGCAAACACUCGGCGAUAGAUUGCUACAGCAUGCGCCGAGUAAUGCAAGACCUACCCGCACCACCACCU
rnacentral:lncRNA from 1 species